AGUCUCUGGAAAGGGAAUGUGGCUGGGGGAUAGCAGGUAUAGUAAGGAGAGAUGGUGCCUAUAGUAGCAGUAGUUGGAAUAGUAGGCUAAUGUUGUUCCUGAACAUGUUGCAUCAAACUAAAUAUCACGCUGCCUGUGGCUGAAACAAUGCUAAGAAUUUAGGGAUCCAGGCCAAUAAUCGCUGUUGGUUGGGUGAAUUUGAGCUCUCAAAGUCAGAGCAUAAACAACGGAAGUCCAAUAAGAUGUAUUUAUAUGUGAAGGCAAGUGACAACAUCAAUACUGUAAGUGUUAAGGGAGAGAACAGGUUUCAAUCCUAAUUCUGUGAGCUCCUGGGGGAUGCAGCUGUUGUAACAUAUCGCUUUCUAAAAAAAAAAACCAUGUAGGCUGUGCAUGCCCCUGGUCUAUGUCAGCUGUGAUAAGCUGAGAGCCUGUGACAUAGGACAGAUAGAGAGGAGCAUUGAUAAGGCGACACAUUGCCAAGUGUGGGCCACAUAAGAGCUGGGUGAGGGAGCAGUCAGUACUCAGCGGAUGCUCAUGGACCGGAGAGCCAUACCCUUCUUCUUCAAUGUCUGAUUCAUGUACAGCAAGGAAGCCUUUUCCUACUUUAUUUCUGGUAAAUGUGUCAUUCCUGGGUGGCAACUCAGAGCAGUAAUUAGUCAACAUUCAACCAGCCCAAGGUUCAAAGAAGGUGCUAAGGUUCAGCCCACAGCAGAUCAUACAAUGGAACAAAAGAUGUCUUGUAAAAGGAAGGUCAUAGACGAUCAUAUGAUGUAGUUCAAGAUAACUAGGAAAGGGAAAAUGAUACAGUUCAGUUCCUAGCAGAAUAUACAAUGUAGCUCAAGAUGUCUUGUAGAAGGACAAUUAUACAGUUCAGCCCAUAGCAGAAUAUACAAUGUAGCUCAAGACAUCUUGUAGAUGGAAGAUGAUACAGUUCAACCAAUAGCAGAUCAGAGAGUGUAGCAUAAGAUGUCUUGUAGAAGGAAGGUGCACUGCUCAGGUUCAGCCCAUAGCACAUUGUAUUAUGUAUCCUGUAGAAGGAAGAUAAUACAGUUCAGCCCAUAGCAGCUAAUACAAUAUAGCUCAAGAUAUUAUGUAGAAGGAAGGUGAUACAGUUCACAGCAAUUUGUUGAUGUAGGGCAAAACAAAUAUACAGUUUAUACAUAUAUGCAAGAGCUAUAGAUGUGUUACAAGGUUUAUUGACACUUAUUUAUUAUAAAAUGUAUUAGGGACCUUAUAUUAAAAUAUGGGGAUAUCAGAAGUCAUCCCAAGAUUCUGUGACCAGUAUAAAAAAAGCAUUCACACCUAUUUAGAAGUAACCAACACUUGUGGGUGCUAGGGUGCCACAUGCCAUGACUAAGUGACUGUUCUAGGUUUAUUAUCAUUAGUCUUUUAAUGGAGGAGGGAAUUCUGUAUGUAUAGAAAUCAGGUAUACAAGUAUACUCUAUAGUGUAUACCAGUUUAGCAUGCCACUGUCCUACCAUCAUCACCGCUAAUCUUCCUCUCAUGUCUGCUCUUCUCUGAGGAUCUGCUCUCUCUCUAUCUGUACAUCCAGCUCAGACUCUUUAUUUCCUGAUAAAGUCUGCAUUUCUCUCUGUAUUGCUAUAAUAUAUUCUGUGUGUCACUCUGCAGUGCUAUGUUAUAAUCUUCUCUAAACUUGUGUAUAUAUAUAUAUAUUCUGCACUGCUCUCUGUAAUGCUCAUAUAGAUAUUCUGCAUUCCUCUCCGGAAGCCUGUUUCCCAUUCAACUCUGCAUUUCUCUAGAAGCCUCCCACCUGUUCCUUACUGCAUUCCUCUGUGUACACCUGUUCUCUGACUAUAUUUCUCUUUGUGAAACUUUAUUUCUCCAUUAAAUCUUUCAUCUCUCUCUUUAAAA